CACGUUCAGCUCAGUCAGACCAGUGAGACACCCGGACACGACGCACAAAGUUUACUGUGGAUACUCGUGGUGGAUAUUUGACAUUUAAUGAUUGAAGACAACAUGCAGAUGGAAAGACAACAUGCAGAUGGAAAGACAACAUGCAGAUGGAAAGACAACAUGCAGAUGGAUGAUGACAUAUUGAUUCCACCUUUGAUGAGGACAGAAAGCAUGUUUAUUGAAGACAACAUGCAGAUUGAAGACAACAUGCAGAUUGAAGACAACAUGCAGAUUGAAGACAAAAUGCAGAUGGAUGAUGACAUAUGGAUUCCACCUUUGUUGAGGACAGAAAGCGUGUUUGUAAGUAAAAAUCCCCCCCCCCCCAACGCUGUAAACCUAGGGGAAACACUGCAUUAUCACUG